CCUUCUCAAGUAAUGGAAACUACUGCCGACCUACAAGUUUCAGAAAAAUGCAAACACUACAUUCAACUUUAAAUACUGAGCCUUGACGUGUGUUUGUAAAAACAACAGGGGGGCGGAGCCCAGAACAAACAAAGAAAACACCGUCUCCAGAGAGACUGUGAUGACUGCGAAGUUACCUGAAGGCCGCCGUCGUUCUUUGUUUGGGAAAAGGUGAAUUCAGUUGGCUUCAGUCUGCAGCCCCGCCCACUAGAGGAAUUAAAUAGUUACGCCCCGCCCACUAGAGACUUUAAAGAGUUACGCCCCGCCCGCUAUAUGCUUUAAUGAGUUACGCCCCGCCCACAAAGCUCCCGUGUGGAUCAUGAACCCGAACUUAAAGUAGAUCCAAUUAUUUAUUCUGUUUUCAGUUUUUUCCCCUGUGUAGGUGAUGCUUGUUCCUCAUUUCGGUGUAUUCUUAUUUAAAGUACCGUUUGUAUUAACACGCUAUGGCUGGUGACCAUACGUACAUCUCAAAUAUUAACAUCGUCCACUUCUUCUUUCGUUUGUUGUUGUUGAGCUAUAAUCUGGUUUUGUAUCCGAUAUCAGCGCCUCGUUGAGGCGAAGCGGCGCAGAAGUGUUUAGUUAAAAACCUCACGUAUAAAGAGGCCGCGCGUUGUUGAUUUAUUAACCCAAUAUAUAGUUUCAUAUUCUGAAGAAAGCAGCUGCUCACUGAGGUUUUUUCUUUUUACUCAAACAAACUGGAGGAAGUCGUUCAGCUCCGGCCGGGGACUAUUUCCAGCGGCGGAAGGAUCCACACGUGGUGACGAUGAUGAGUACAGUGAUGAAGAACAGUGAGACUCAUCCGGGCGUUUCCAUGGAGAUCCGCCAGGCUUCGGGUGCGUUCACUGUCCACUCCUUUGGUGGGAUUCGCUGCCUUCGGCGAUGUGAUCGAAGGGACAAUCGUCGCAGUAUUUUAUUUCGCUGUGACGUCACGCUGGAGCCACAACGGCGCUGAUGCAAAGUUACUAACGUGUGUGUAGAGUUCUCUUCAAACCAAACGCUUCGUUGUUUAGUCUGUUGUUCUGCCGGAAGGCGUCUAACUCCCGCUGCAGUAUUAACACGUAGAGGACGCCAUGAUGUCAUGUACUUUAAAGUGUCUUUAUUUCUGCGGUCCUCGUCGACGUGGGACGGACGUGGGACGCCAAGACUUUCUCUUUUCUUUUUAUUGUUUUGUAAAUUCAGCUGUAACGCUUCUCGUUUUACUCAAAGAGCCGAUGUCCUGUAUUGACUGCAGGCUUACGUAUAUAUUUGACAAAAGAAUAUUGUAUGUUUAAUAAUAAAAAAACUCAAAAAUGACCAAAAAAUUGUGAAAAAGAAGAAAGCGGAGGAGGGGAUUGAAAUAAAGUGUAAUUUAUACUUUGAAUCUGCAUGGGUCGUAUUUAGAAGAACUAAUGGCAGUGCCUUGUUUUGUACUCGAGGGGUAAAAGUGUUUUUUAUACAGACGUCGAAAAGAGAAACCUUUAAAUCACGUUAUUGAUCUUCAUACAGGAAGAAGAACACAGCGGAUAACGUGAGUCAGAGACAAAUACAAAAUAAAUAAGUCUGUCGUCACGGCAACGGUCCGAAACCCCAAACAAUAACGAAUAGUUAGCAAACAUAUGGAGCGUCGAUUUACACUGUUUACACUACACGACUGUUUGUUGUCCUCUUAUGUUGUUGUAAGUUAUUGAUCCGUCAGCAGGAUCGAUAAAUAAUCAUAUUCAUCAAUAUGUGUCUUUUGUUUUCCGUCCUGCUAAUAUCACAAAUACUACACAUACCUUUGUAUAGUAUGUACACCAGGAUCAGCCUCGGGGCGCAGUGGGACUCAUUGGAGGAAAUCCAGAAUUCAGGAUCAGGAUCAAAGUGACAAUUUAAUGAAAAAAGGUUUGUUUUGAUUUAAAAUGUGUAAAUGUGGAGCCGUCGUUCUUCAUAACAUCGGAGGUGAUGUCACGAAACAUCUCUGAUCGACGCGUGUCAUCAGACGUGUGGCGAGUUCUUUGUGUCACGCGUUCUGCAGCACCACGACGAGAACAACAACUUCCUGUAAACAACACAACAAACACAAAGACACACGUCUGUGUUAAUAAACCAGGGGAAGCUGAAAGCUGCUUUUCAUCAAUGC
ensembl:lncRNA